UACAGAGGUGGCAAGCGUUGUUCGGAAUUACUGGGCGUAAAGGGCGCGUAGGCGGCCAUCUAAGUCAGACGUGAAAUCCCCCGGCUUAACCUGGGAACUGCGUCUGAUACUGGACGGCUUGAGUUUGGGAGAGGGACGCGGAAUUCCAGGUGUAGCGGUGAAAUGCGUAGAUAUCUGGAGGAACACCGGUGGCGAAGGCGGCGUCCUGGACCAAUACUGACACUGAGUGAGCGAAAGCCAGGGGAGCAAACGGGG
rnacentral:rRNA from 1 species